UGUGUGCGUGCGCGCGCGCGCGUGGUUCGUUCGUUCUGUCUCCAGGCUAGUGGCUAAGUACUGAGGGCUUCAUCUAUCUAAAAGGAGUUAUUUCCAUCUGAAUUUGGCAGCACCGGGACACAGCAGCAGAGCGAGUCCACAUCCAGAAGACUGGAGCCGUGUUUCACUGACAGGCUGUCAGACUAACGCCCUGAUGAGCUCAGCUAGGACAAACUGGUCUGAUGUUUAGGAACACAGAACGUUCAGAUGUUGGCGUUUCACGUCACCUACUGAGGAAGGAGACCCACCAGUAAAGAGACGGUCUGGACCAGACCAAAAAUAUGGCGAUGACAUCAUGGAACUGGUCUUUGGAAAAGUUUUCCCUGAACCAACUCCGUUUCUAGAUGAGGUAGAGAAGAUCUGCAUCUCACCAACCCUCUGGUCUCAGUAUUCAGACAACGGAGGUCUCCCACUGUUGUCCAGGACCAGUUUGAAGCCCACAUACAGCCCCUCCCUCAUCAUCAGGAAACAUCAAUCCGUAUCCUGAGGACAACAGAAGACGGCAGGAGGACAGGAACUCUGAGACCUAGACACCACCAGCACCGAGACACAAAGCACCUGUGUGCACAACGCCUGUUUUAACUACUAAAGCCUGUUUAUUAUAUUGUUCUACUUAUUUGCUGUGAGGUUAAUACUUAGAAAAUUUGUAUAUUAAUGUAAACAAUAAAAAAAAUCACUGAUUGUA